GAUGAACGCUGGCGGCGUGCCUAAUACAUGCAAGUCGAGCGAACGGACGAGAAGCUUGCUUCUCUGAUGUUAGCGGCGGACGGGUGAGUAACACGUGGAUAACCUACCUAUAAGACUGGGAUAACUUCGGGAAACCGUAGCUAAUACCGGAUAAUAUUUUGAACCGCAUGGUUCAAAAGUGAAAGACGGUCUUGCUGUCACUUAUAGAUGGAUCCGCGCUGCAUUAGCUAGUUGGUAAGGUAACGGCUUACCAAGGCAACGAUGCAUAGCCGACCUGAGAGGGUGAUCGGCCACACUGGAACUGGGACACGGUCCAGACUCCUACGGGAGGCAGCAGUAGGGAAUCUUCCGCAAUGGGCGAAAGCCUGACGGAGCAACGCCGCGUGAGUGAUGAAGGUCUUCGGAUCGUAAAACUCUGUUAUUAGGAAGAACAUAUGUGUAAGUAACUGUGCACAUCUUGACGGUACCUAAUCAGAAAGCCACGGCUAACUACGUG
rnacentral:rRNA from 1 species